UGAAGGAGGAGCUUGCUUCUCUGGAUGAGUUGCGAACGGGUGAGUAACGCGUAGGUAACCUGCCUGGUAGCGGGGGAUAACUAUUGGAAACGAUAGCUAAUACCGCAUAAUAGUAGAUGUUGCAUGACAUUUGCUUAAAAGGUGCAAUUGCAUCACUACCAGAUGGACCUGCGUUGUAUUAGCUAGUUGGUGGGGUAACGGCUCACCAAGGCGACGAUACAUAGCCGACCUGAGAGGGUGAUCGGCCACACUGGGACUGAGACACGGCCCAGACUCCUACGGGAGGCAGCAGUAGGGAAUCUUCGGCAAUGGACGGAAGUCUGACCGAGCAACGCCGCGUGAGUGAAGAAGGUUUUCGGAUCGUAAAGCUCUGUUGUAAGAGAAGAACGAGUGUGAGAGUGGAAAGUUCACACUGUGACGGUAUCUUACCAGAAAGGGACGGCUAACUACGCGCCAGCAGCCGCGGUAAUACGUAGGUCCCGAGCGUUGUCCGGAUUUAUUGGGCGUAAAGCGAGCGCAGGCGGUUAGAUAAGUCUGAAGUUAAAGGCUGUGGCUUAACCAUAGUACGCUUUGGAAACUGUUUAACUUGAGUGCAAGAGGGGAGAGUGGAAUUCCAUGUGUAGCGGUGAAAUGCGUAGAUAUAUGGAGGAACACCGGUGGCGAAAGCGGCUCUCUGGCU
rnacentral:rRNA from 1 species